rnacentral:rRNA from 1 species
AGUGAACGCUGGCGGUAGGCCUAACACAUGCAAGUCGAACGGCAGCACAGUAAGAGCUUGCUCUUACGGGUGGCGAGUGGCGGACGGGUGAGGAAUACAUCGGAAUCUACUUUUUCGUGGGGGAUAACGUAGGGAAACUUACGCUAAUACCGCAUACGACCUACGGGUGAAAGCAGGGGUUCUUCGGACCUUGCGCGAUUGAAUGAGCCGAUGUCGGAUUAGCUAGUUGGCGGGGUAAAGGCCCACCAAGGCGACGAUCCGUAGCUGGUCUGAGAGGAUGAUCAGCCACACUGGAACUGAGACACGGUCCAGACUCCUACGGGAGGCAGCAGUGGGGAAUAUUGGACAAUGGGCGCAAGCCUGAUCCAGCCAUACCGCGUGGGUGAAGAAGGCCUUCGGGUUGUAAAGCCCUUUUGUUGGGAAAGAAAAGCAGCAGGUGAAUACCCCGCUGUUCUGACGGUACCCAAAGAAUAAGCACCGGCUAACUUCGUG